UCUCACUCUUCUUUUCUUUAGACUUUGCGCGUUCCUUGCGGCGGCGGUCACGGGACCGUGAUCGGGAACGGGGCCCUUCUCGAACUUUGUCCCGAUCCCAUUCACGCUCUGAUCGAGUUCGCUCCCGCCGCUCCAUCUCCCGUUCCCGCUCUGCCCACUGUUCCCGCACCGCCCGCUCCUGCUCCCGCUGCUCUGCCCUGGGGUGCUGUGGUGGCUGGGCUGGGGGCGGGGGCGGGGGGUGCAGCGGCCGUGGUACCCCCUGCUCCUCUGUCUUAGUUUCAGAGGGACGGUCCACCAAGAGGCCUCGGUGGUAAUCCAGCUGCGGGUAGAGGAGGGACAAGGACAGUCAGGAUGAAGAUGACAUCACUCCCACCAGAGGAGCCCAGUUGCGGCAUGUGGGAUCUAGUUCCCUGACCAGGGAUCAAACCCAGGCCCCCUGCACUGGGAGCGUGGAGUCUUAGCCACUGGACCACCAGGGAAGUCCCUACAGAGGGAUUCUUGAACACCAAACAGCACUUGAGCAGCCAGAGACAAGA